rnacentral:tRNA from 1 species
GGGGAUGUGGCUCAGCGGUAGAGCACUCGCCUUGCACGUGUGUGGCCCUGGGUUCGAUCCUCAGCACCACA